rnacentral:rRNA from 1 species
AGCAGCCGCGGUAAUUCCAGCUCCAAUAGCGUAUAUUAAAGUUGUUGCAGUUAAAAAGCUCGUAGUUGAAUUUCGGGAUCAGUUUGUUGGUCGUGCUUCGGUACGUACUGUCAUUACUGGUUUCUACCUUCUGAAGAACCUUGAUGUCAUUAAUUUGGUGUCUUGGGGAAUCAGGACUGUUACUUUGAAAAAUUAGAGUGUUUAAAGCAAGCAUACGCUUGAAUACAUUAGCAUGGAAUAAUGAAAUAGGACGUUUGAUUCUAUUUUGUUGGUUUCUAGGAUCGACGUAAUGAUUAAUAGGGAUAGUUGGGGGCAUUAGUAUUCAAUUGUCAGAGGUGAAAUUCUUGGAUUUAUUGAAGACUAACUACUGCGAAAGCAUUUGCCAAGGAUGUUUUCAUUAAUCAAGAACGAAAGUUAGGGGAUCGAAGACGAUCAGAUACCGUCGUAGUCUUAACCAUAAACUAUGCCGACUAGGGAUCGGAUGAUGUUAUUUUUAAUGUACUCAUUCGGCGCCUUACGG